GACGAACGCUGGCGGCGUGCUUAACACAUGCAAGUCGAACGGAAAGGCCCUGCUUUUGUGGGGUGCUCGAGUGGCGAACGGGUGAGUAACACGUGAGUAACCUGCCCUUGACUUUGGGAUAACUUCAGGAAACUGGGGCUAAUACCGGAUAGGAGCUCCUGCUGCAUGGUGGGGGUUGGAAAGUUUCGGCGGUGGGGGAUGGACUCGCGGCUUAUCAGCUUGUUGGUGGGGUAGUGGCUUACCAAGGCUUUGACGGGUAGCCGGCCUGGGAGGGUGACCGGCCACAUUGGGACUGAGAUACGGACCAGACUCCUACGGGAGGCAGCAGUGGGGAGUAUUGCACAAUGGGCGGACGCCUGAUGCAGCAGCGCCGCGUGCGGGAUGACGGCCUUCGGGUUGUGAACCGCUUUCGACUGUGACGAAGCGUGCGUGACGGUAAUGGGUAAAGAAGCACCGGCUAACUACGUG
rnacentral:rRNA from 1 species